UGCAGGCAGCAUGACAUAGUUAGAAAAGGGCCCACAGAAACAAGAUGGGGACAGUAAGUAGAGUGAUGGAUGGAGCAGAUGAUCUGUUCCAAAUCCAAAGGCAGUGCAGAGGACCACAGAAGAACCACGCAGAAUAAUUGACUGUGUGCAUGCAGCCAUCUUGCCUCUCUGUCUGGUGCCACUUUAAACAUUUCAGACACAUAAAUUCCCCUUGUUUGCUGAAUGCUUUUUAAAUUCACGGACAAAUAUGCAUCUUACCUAUCUACUUUCAUAGGAUCAUGUUCUUUCAUCCAGUCAGCAAAGUCAUGCCAGUGAUCAGUAGUUUUCCAGGGGUCUUUCCCCUUGAAAAAGUCUGGGCAGAUGGUUCUGUGUGAGACAUGGAAACAAGUCAACUUCACAUCCAGCUCCUGGCUACUAAAGUGUGCCGCAGAGCUGCGAGAACUGGGUGGAUGUGACAUUGCUGCUAGAAUCAAGCUGCUUCACAGAUAGCCAUGAGACGGGUGAUCUUACACAGUGAGUAAUUCCCUAUGCUGAUAACUGAGAGCUGAUUACACUUGUUAAUUGUUCUCCCGCCUUUUUCAACAUCUGAAUGUCAGGCUUGGUAUUAGGAAGCAUGAAUUAUCCUGAUCUUCAGCAUUAAAACUUCCAUUGCUUUGGCAUUACAUGCAAGUAGAAGUUGUAACAUGUGGGAGAGUAUCUCCUAGCUUACGUCCCCAAUAACAGGCCUGAAAAUGCUUGAAUGAUGUCUGUUUAUGCAAAAGUAAUUCCUACAUGUUUGUUUGUUUGUUUUUAACCUAAGAUGAAUGAGGUUGUUGAAGUGCAAGAGACUGCUUGAAGAACUGACAGGCAUUCCCAAAGUCAGCUAACGCCACUGGCUUCUGAGAUGGCAGCCACAGUCUUAACCCAUUAGCACCUUUAGUUCAGAAGGGCACAGCCUAUGGUGUCCCCUUCAAGGAAAUAGCGUUUAGGAGGCAUUAAGCUUUGCAAUAGUUGUGAAAGAGCCUACUGUCUAUCUUUUGGUAGCUUCCCAGAAAUCAUUUCUUUGGCCUAUCUUGAUUGAUUCCCAGCCAGCUGGCUCUUCUCCAGGCACCCGGCUGCGAAGACCUUAGUAAAUAGCCAGCCACACCUGAACUGCUUAGAAGUCUUUGAUGGGAUCCUGUUUAGUCAGAAGCUUUAUUUGUUCCCUCCCGCUUUGAUCCAUGCAACACGGUGCGGUGAAGCAACGACCCAGGAUAUUUCCUACCUGUCCUGUCUCACCUCAUUCCCUCUUGCCACCGAUUUCAUCCAUUACACUUUUCCUCUUCCUGCUUUACCCACGGCCCGGUUCCAGGCACGCAGAACCUCACCUCUACAGCCUGCUUCUCAUCACUGAGCUCUAGCACGGACAAGACACGGGCACAAAGCAAGGAGCAGGGGAAACUACUGCUGAAACUACUGCUAACAGGGAACAAGCAGAGACAUCCAGGAGUUUCAGGGCAUCCUUUUGCUGUUUAGAGAAAGCCUCCUUAUAGCUUCUUCGUCUCACUUCCUCGGUUCCCUGAGUUCCUCAGUGCCACCUGGCUUUUGUGCAUGUAACAAAAAACUGAGGAGAAUCAUUUAGUGUUAUCACAAGGCAAAGGUGGGCUCCCAUGGAGAGCAAGACAGACCCAAACUAAUUGAUUUGUAGGGAGCAGCACAUAACAUGAUUAAAAUCUGUCAAGUCUUGGUAUUCAUUUUAAAAAAAAAAAAAA